rnacentral:rRNA from 1 species
UACGUAGGGGGCAAGCGUUGUCCGGAAUCAUUGGGCGUAAAGCGCGUGUAGGCGGCUAGGUAAGUCUGCUGUGAAAGUCCAGGGCUCAACCCUGGGAUGCCGGUGGAUACUGCUGGGCUAGAGUACGGAAGAGGCGAGUGGAAUUCCCGGUGUAGCGGUGAAAUGCGCAGAUAUCGGGAGGAACACCAAUUGCGAAGGCAGCUCGCUGGGACGUUACUGACGCUGAGACGCGAAAGCGUGGGGAGCAAACAGG